CAGCAGCCGCGGUAAUACGUAGGAGGCUAGCGUUAUCCGGAUUUACUGGGCGUAAAGGGUGCGUAGGUGGUCCUUCAAGUCGGUGGUUAAAGGCUACGGCUCAACCGUAGUAAGCCGCCGAAACUGGAGGACUUGAGUGCAGGAGAGGAAAGUGGAAUUCCCAGUGUAGCGGUGAAAUGCGUAGAUAUUGGGAGGAACACCAGUAGCGAAGGCGGCUUUCUGGGCUGCAACUGACACUGAGGCACGAAAGCGUGGGUAGCAAACAGGAUUAGAUACCCCCGUAGUCCCUGUCUCUUAUACA
rnacentral:rRNA from 1 species